rnacentral:rRNA from 1 species
AUGGAGGACGUCGUGUACCUCGUCCUGGCCCUCGCGUCGCUGCUCGUCGUGCUGCUCGCCAGGCGGUGGAGGCACAGCUCGCCGGAGGGCGAGGACAAGCUGCGGCUGCCGCCAGGGCCGUGGACGCUGCCGGUGAUCGGCAGCAUCCACCACAUCGCCGGGGCGCUCCCGCACCAGGCCAUGCGCGACCUGGCGCGGCGGCACGGGUGGCCCGUCAUGCUGCUCCGGCUCGGCGAGGUGCCCACGCUGGUGGUGUCGUCCCGGGAGGGCGCGCGCGAGGUGAUGAAGACCCACGAUGCCGCCUUCGCCACGCGCCCGCUGAGCUCCACCGUGCGCGUGCUCACCAACGGCGGCCGGGACAUCAUCUUCGCGCCCUACGGGGAGCACUGGCGCCAGAUGCGCAAGAUCGCCGUCACGGAGCUCCUCACGGCGCGGCGAGUGCUCUCCUUCCGUGCCAUCCGGGAGGAGGAGGUCGGCGCCAUGCUCCGGGCCGUCGCGUCCGCCGCCGGGGACGGGGACGCGAUCGACAUGCGCGCGCGGCUGUCGGUGCUCGUGGCAGACACCACGGUGCGCGCCGUCAUGGGCGACCGGUGCAAGGACCGCGACGUGUUCGUCCGGGAGCUCGACCGCUCCAUCGGCCUGGCCGGCGGGUUUAACCCGGCCGACUUGUGGCCGUCGUCGCGGCUCGCCGUCUGGGCCAGCGGCGCCGUCCGCCGCGCCGAGGAGUGCCGCGACAUCGUGUUCGGGAUCCUGGACGGCAUCAUCGCUGAGCACCAGCAGAGGAUGGGCACCGUCGACGGCGACGACGAGGACCUCAUCGACGUGCUCCUGAGGGUGCAGAACGACGGCAGCCUCCAGCUCCCUCUCGACAUGGACUCCAUCAAAGCCGUCAUCUUCGACAUCUUCGGCGCCGGUAGCGAGACAUCGGCGACGACGCUGGAGUGGAUAAUGGCGGAGCUCGUGAAGAACCCGAAGGUGAUGAAGCGGGCGACGACGGAGGUGCGGCGAGCCUUUGAGGCCGGCGGCAAGGUGGUGGAACAAAAACUUGGGGAGCUGGUGCCGUACCUGCACCUCGUGAUCCGGGAGACGUUCCGACUGCACGCGCCAGUGCCGCUGCUGCUCCCGCGGGAGUGCCGGGAGGAGCCGGCGUGCCGGGUGCUGGGCUACGACGUGCCGCGGGGCACCCAGGUGCUGGUGAACGUCUGGGCGCUGGGCCGCGACGAGCGGUACUGGCCGGAUGCGCCCGAGGAGUUCCGGCCAGAGCGGUUCGAGGUUGAGGGCGGCGGGUCGGCGGCGGGGGUGGACUUCAGGGGCGCGGACUUUGAGCUCCUGCCUUUCGGUGCCGGGAGGAGGAUGUGCCCCGGGAUGGCGUUCGGGCUGGCCAACGUGGAGCUGGCGCUGGCCAGCCUACUGCUGCACUUCGACUGGGAGGCGCCCGGCGUGGCUAACCCUGCCGAGUUCGACAUGACCGAGGCGUUCGGCAUCACCAACAGGCGGAAGGCCGGACUCCUGCUCCGCCCCAUCCUGCGUGUGCCCGUCCCCGUUCCCGUACCCGGUGUCUAG